AGGAUGAACGCUGGCGGCGUGCCUAACACAUGCAAGUCGAACGCGCUCCAUUCGGUAGCAAUACCGAUGAAGGGUGAGUGGCGAACGGGUGAGUAACACAUGAGCAACCUGCCCGAUGACUGGGACAACACCGGGAAACCGGUGCUAAUACCGGAUAUCCCUAUCGGAUCGCAUGAUCUGAUAAGGAAAUGGAUUCCGCUUCGGGAGGGGCUCGUGGCCUAUCAGCUAGUUGGUGAGGUAAUAGCUCACCAAGGCAUCGACGGGUAGCUGGUCUGAGCGGACGAUCAGCCACACUGGGACUGAGACACGGCCCAGACUCCUACGGGAGGCAGCAGUGGGGAAUCUUGCGCAAUGGGCGAAAGCCUGACGCAGCAACGCCGCGUGGAGGACGAAUGCUUUCUGAGUUGUAAACUCCCUUCAGCAGGGACGAUUGUGACGGUACCUGCAGAAGAGCACCGGCCAACUACGUG
rnacentral:rRNA from 1 species